ACAAGCAACUAAAACAAAAUUGUAUACCACAUGCACAUUCAACCUCACAAAGUUCAUCAUCCUGAACUCGUAUUGCAUUUCCGCAAUGGGGGACACUAGGGCACCAUUUAACUCUUUUGUUGUCCUCAAUAUACGAUUCAAAUAGAAAUCGAUCAAAUUUCUCUGCAAGAUUCGGAUUGUGCAUGCUAACUAAAUGUCUGAUUUUAACAUCAUCACAGACAGCAUUGCACUGGGGCGCCAUGCACCUAAUGCGUCUACUCUGGCCCUCAUUUAUCUUCACAAUAAAAUGUUGAGUCCAACCUAAACAGAAAAUUUAUUGUAAAAAUAUAUUGAUAUAUUUUUUCCAGGCACCAGAAAGAUAAAUUGACAUAUAUAUGCAGCCUAUAGAACAUGAGAGAAUGUAACCUCCUGCCUGAUGACAAAGCCCAUAUAAGGAUCUAGGACCUGGAAAACUCUAUAUUGAGAACUGAAUAUAGGCGAUACAUAUCUAUGUUAUCUUUAUCUUGCAUCAGGAGCUUGUACUUCUUCCUCUAACAAUUUUUGUCAACAAUGGUUAUUAAAAAUUUUGAGUAUAAACGUUUCAAUGUUCAUUAGAAUACCCAAAAUUACAUCUGUGAAAAUGAUCUUUAAAAUGGUUUUUGCUAGUUGCAUCUUUUUCAUUAAGGGGCAUCAUGUUGACACCAUUGUUACAAUCAACAGUAACAGCUAGCACAAAAUAGUGACUGCUGGACUAUGCAAUACAAAAAUUAUGGUUCAAUUGUUCUUGAAAGUUCUUCAGAUUGAUGAAACUCAGGUUAAGAAGAACAGUUUUGUGCAUAGGCAAUCAUACUGUUUUGGACAGCCACAAACAACUAGGAUUUGCAGCUUUAUUUAGUUAAAUUGUGAAAACAGAUAAAAUCUAGCAGUGUACUUACAGCUGUUGCAAAAGAAGUGACCACAGUCCAUGGCAGUCACCUCACUGGCAGAUACAUUAUCAAAACAAAUGUUGCACUCAAUCAUAGAUGACAACUCGGGUAAGAUAAUGUCAUCAUGAUCUAUGAUGGUCACACCCACUUCAGCAUACAAUUUAUCUCUCCCCUUUUCUAUGAGUAACUGAAGCACCCUAUCAACAUCCCAGCGAUGAUGAAUGAGUAAGCUCCGCGCCUGGU
rnacentral:misc_RNA from 1 species